rnacentral:rRNA from 1 species
GACGAACGCUGGCGGCGUGCCUAAUACAUGCAAGUAGAACGCUGAGGAGAGGAGCUUGCUCUUCUUGGAUGAGUUGCGAACGGGUGAGUAACGCGUAGGUAACCUGCCUUGUAGCGGGGGAUAACUAUUGGAAACGAUAGCUAAUACCGCAUAACAAUGGAUGACACAUGUCAUUUAUUUGAAAGGGGCAAUUGCUCCACUACAAGAUGGACCUGCGUUGUAUUAGCUAGUAGGUGAGGUAAUGGCUCACCUAGGCGACGAUACAUAGCCGACCUGAGAGGGUGAUCGGCCACACUGGGACUGAGACACGGCCCAGACUCCUACGGGAGGCAGCAGUAGGGAAUCUUCGGCAAUGGGGGCAACCCUGACCGAGCAACGCCGCGUGAGUGAAGAAGGUUUUCGGAUCGUAAAGCUCUGUUGUAAGUCAAGAACGGGUGUGAGAGUGGAAGGUUCACACUGUGACGGUAGCUUACCAGAAAGGGACGGCUAACUACGUG